GCUCCCAUGGCGUAGUGGUCACUGCGCUCGCCUUGCACGCGGGAGAUCCGGGUUCGAUUCCCGGCGGCGUCA
rfam:Asian citrus Psyllid, Diaphorina citri - Florida Strain, whole genome shotgun sequence.